UAGAUGAAAUGAACAAAUUAUUUCAAAGAAACCUACUGGCCAGGCACAGUGGCUCACACCUGUAAUCCCAGCACAUUAGGAGGCUAAGGAGAGCAGAUCACUUGAGCUAAGGAGUUCAAGACCAGCCUGGCCAAAAUAGGGAGACUCCAUCACUACAAAAAUUUAUUUAAGAGAUUAGCUGAGCAAGCCGGGCGCGGUGACUCACGCCUGUAAUCCCAGCACUUUGGGAGGCAGAAGCAGGCGGAUCACGAGGUCAUGAGAUCAAGACCACCCUGGCUAAAACGGUGAAACCCCAGACUCUACUAAAAAAUACAAAAAAAUUAGCCAGGCGUGGCAGCGGGCGCCUGUAGUCCCAGAUGGUGGCUAGAGAAAAUCUGUUUUGAACUUGGGUUAGACAAGUAUUUCUUAGAUAUAGUAACAAAAGCACACCUAUGAAAGAAGAAAUUAAUAGAUUGGAUUUCAUCAAAAUCUAAAACUUCUGCUCUUCAAAGGAUACUGCUUAAGAGAAAGUAACGGCAUUGACUAGAAGAAAAUAAUUGCAAAUAUUAUAUUUGAUAAAGGACUAGUAUAGAGAAUAUAUAGAGAACUCCUACAGCUGAAUAAUAUAAAGACAAGUAACCCAAUUAAGAAAAAAGGGAUAAGUUUUUGUUUGUUUGUUUGUUUUUGUAGAGAUAAGGUCUCGUUGUUGUGUUGCCCAAACUGCUCUCAAGCUCCCGGCCUCAAGCAAUCCU
rnacentral:lncRNA from 1 species